CCUACGGGCGGCUGCAGUGGGGAAUAUUGGACAAUGGGGGCAACCCUGAUCCAGCCAUGCCGCGUGUGUGAAGAAGGCCCUCGGGUUGUAAAGCACUUUCAGUGAGGAAGAACGCCUGGUGGUUAAUACCCAUCAGGAAAGACAUCACUCACAGAAGAAGCACCGGCUAACUCCGUGCCAGCAGCCGCGGUAAUACGGAGGGUGCGAGCGUUAAUCGGAAUUACUGGGCGUAAAGCGCGCGUAGGUGGCUUGAUAAGCCGGUUGUGAAAGCCCCGGGCUCAACCUGGGAACGGCAUCCGGAACUGUCAAGCUAGAGUGCAGGAGAGGAAGGUAGAAUUCCCGGUGUAGCGGUGAAAUGCGUAGAGAUCGGGAGGAAUACCAGUGGCGAAGGCGGCCUUCUGGACUGACACUGAGACUGAGGUGCGAAAGCGUGGGUAGCAAACAGGAUUAGAUACCCUAGUAGUC
rnacentral:rRNA from 1 species